rnacentral:rRNA from 1 species
AAAAAACGACUCUCGGCAACGGAUAUCUCGGCUCUCGCAUCGAUGAAGAAUGGCGAAAUGCGAUACUUGGUGUGAAUUGCAGAAUCCCGUGAACCAUCGAGUCUUUGAACGCAAGUUGCGCCCGAAGCCGUCAGGCCGAGGGCACGUCUGCCUGGGCGUCACG